rnacentral:lncRNA from 10 species
GUUGGCAAGUCCAAGACAAGCUUCAACCUUUCGAAGAGGAUAAGAGCGAAUUAAGUAUUCCAUCAUAGCAAGCUGACUGAGUCUCGGGAGAAAAUGACACAAGGCUGCCAGAUGAGAUGUCACUGCCAAGGCAGCCGAAUUCACUGCAAGUUUCCAGGAUCAGGUUUCCUUGGAACAGGCUCGCACAUGGCCUCUGUCUUCUAAAGCUGAUUGCUUUGCCAUGGGACAAAGAGAAGAAAGUACUUCUUAUCAUCAUUGUCUCUGUACCAAAACCCCAGCUCGGAUGGAUGAAUGAGGACUCAGGAGCCCACAGACUCAGAGCAAUUAGAAACUAUUACGUCCUGCACAUGGCUGGGUGUAAAGUGCGUGAAUCUUAACCCGAUGAAUUUUCAUGUGUAUUCAUUGGUGCAGAACUACUUAAAUCAAGAUAUAGAACAUUCCAGCAUCCCAAAGGCUCUGUCACAUCUCUUCCCCGUUACUGUUCCCUGUCCUUGAACUUUGAAGCAAUUACUGUUAUACUAUUCUAAAUUUCAUCACCAUCAUUUUGCCUGUAUUUGAACUUUACACACACACACACACACACACCCACACACACACGCACGCACACACACGAGUAGGUACUUUUGUGCCUGGCCUCUUUUGCUAAACAUUUUUCAGUGAGAUUCACACAUUUUCUAACAUGCAACAAUUGUUUGUUUCUUCCUGUUGCUUGUAGUAGAAUCCAUUGUAUGAAUAUACCCGAACUCAUUUACCAAUUCUACUAUUGUUGAGCUUUUGGGCUGUUUUCAGGUUUGGUUUAUGAUGAAUAUAGUUGCGAUGAACAUUCUUGGAACAUUCUUGCAUAUUCCUUUUGGUGGACGAAAGCAUUUGCUUCUCUUCUAUAUGUACCUUGUGUGAGGUAUACAGAUGUUUAGCUUUAGUUUAAUCCUGCAAAACUAUUUUUCAAAGUUAUCUUUCCAACUUAUACCCCCACCAGCAACGUAUGAGACUUCUAGUCGCUCCACAUUGUUUCCAACAGUGUGUAUUUUCAGGCUUUUUGUUUUGUUUUGUUUUGUUUUUAACUCAUCAUCUUGAUGGGUACAUCAUGGCAUCUCAAUAAUAGGCAUUUCCCUGAUAACUAAGAGACUGAGCACUUUUUCAUAUACUCAUUCCAUUACGCCCAUUGGGUAACUUCUUUUGGGAAGGAUCUAUUCGAGUCUUUUGGCCCAUCUUAAAAUUCAGUUGUUUGUCUUUUUCUAAGGGUUUGUAGGUUUCCUUUAUAUACGGAUAUAAGCUCUGCAAAUAUAUUCUCCGUGGCUGUGGCUUGCCUUCUCAUUCUCUUUUGAUGGGUAGUUCUUGCGUAUUUAUUAGUUUUGUUUUUGUGGUUAGUGUUUUUAAACAGCAGUUUAAGAAAUCUUUACCUAAGCAUAGAAGAGGACGAAUUAAGUACAAGACACAUGAAGGCUUAUCCUAUCAUUCUGAAGUUAUACUGCUUGAUAGACUUGUCUGACAUUCUUGAUAAUUAGUUUCAUGUCUAUACUAAGCAAACAUUCUUAACCAUACUAUAUUAUUUAGAUGAAAAUAUUUCUUCCUCCCUAUAUAUUAUUUGUAUAAGAAAAACAUAUUAAAAAUUACUUGGUUAUGGCCAAGAGCAAUGGCUCAUGCCUGUAAUCCCACCACUUUGAGAGGCCAAGGUGGGCAGAUCACCUGAGGUCAGGAGUUCGAGACCAACUUGACCAACAUGGUGAAACCCCAUCUGUCUGUACUAAAAAAUACAAAAAUUAGCCAGGUGUCAUGGCGGGCACCAGUAAUUCCAGCUGCUCAGGAGGCUGAGGCAUGAGAAUCUCUUGCUCUGGAUGCGGAGGUUGCAGUGAGCUGAGAUUGUGCCACUGCACGCCACCCUGAAUGACAGAGUGAGACUUUCUCUAAAAAAAAAAAAAAAAGAAAAAGAAAAAAUAUUACUGGGUUAUGUGGGGAGAGGGGGUGAAUAGGCAGAGCCCAAGGAUUUUUAGGGCAGUGAAAUUAUUCUGUAUACUACAAUGGAGGAUAUAUGUCACUAUGCAUUUGUCAAAACUUAUACAAUAUACCAUAUCGAGAGUGAAUCCUAAAUAUGGGCUUUGGGUGAUAAUGAUGUGUCAACAUAGAUUCAUUGAUUGUUAACAAAUGUACCACUUGAGGGUGGAAUGUUGAUUAUGGGAGAGAUUAUGUACGCGUGAAGGUGGGAGACAUAUCGUAACUCUCUGUACUUUCUGCUUAAUUUUGUUGUAAACUUAAAACUGCCCUA